CGAACGGGUGAGUAACACGUGAGCAACCUGCCCCUGACUCUGGGAUAAGCGCUGGAAACGGCGUCUAAUACUGGAUAUGUGACGUGACCGCAUGGUCUGCGUCUGGAAAGAAUUUCGGUUGGGGAUGGGCUCGCGGCCUAUCAGCUUGUUGGUGAGGUAAUGGCUCACCAAGGCGUCGACGGGUAGCCGGCCUGAGAGGGUGACCGGCCACACUGGGACUGAGACACGGCCCAGACUCCUACGGGAGGCAGCAGUGGGGAAUAUUGCACAAUGGGCGCAAGCCUGAUGCAGCAACGCCGCGUGAGGGACGACGGCCUUCGGGUUGUAAACCUCUUUUAGCAGGGAAGAAGCGAAAGUGACGGUACCUGCAGAAAAAGCGCCGGCUAACUACGUGCCAGCAGCCGCGGUAAUACGUAGGGCGCAAGCGUUAUCCGGAAUUAUUGGGCGUAAAGAGCUCGUAGGCGGUUUG
rnacentral:rRNA from 1 species